rnacentral:rRNA from 1 species
AGAGUUUGAUCAUGGCUCAGAACGAACGUUGGCGGCGUGGAUUAGGCAUGCAAGUCGAACGAAUCCCAGGAGCUUGCUCCUGGGGGAAGUGGCGAAAGGGGCAGUAAUGCGUGGGUAACCUACCCUGGGGACGGGGAUAGCCGUUCUAACGGACGGGUAAUACUCGGCGAUUCGGCGUGAGGACAUCCUCGUGCCGGGAAAAGAGUUUCGCCUCGGGAGGGGCUCACGUGAUAUUAGCUUGUUGGUGAGGUAACGGCUCACCAAGGCAAAGAUGUCUAGCGGGUGUGAGAGCACGACCCGCGCCACUGGCACUGAGACACUGGCCAGACUCCUACGGGAGGCUGCAGUCGAGGAUCUUCGGCAUGGGCGCAAGCCUGACCGAGCGACGCCGCGUGUGCGGUGAAGGCCUUCGGGUUGUAAAGCACUGUCGAGGGGGAGGAAGCCGCAAGGUUGACCUAUCCCUGGAGGAAGCACGGGCUAAGUUCGUGCCAGCAGCCGCGGUAAGACGAACCGUGCGAACGUUGUUCGGAAUCACUGGGCUUAAAGGGCGCGUAGGCGGAUUUGCAAGUCUGCGGUGAAAGCCUCCAGCUCAACUGGAGAAGUGCCGUGGAUACUGCGAAUCUCGAGGAGGGUAGGGGCAUCUGGAACGUUGGGUGGAGCGGUGAAAUGCGUUGAUAU